GCGGCCGUCCUGACCAGAUGCUCCAAAAGGAUCUGUAGCCUCCUUUUCAUUUUUUCUUCCCGGAGAAGUAACUUACAGCUGCUCCACAGAGAGAGACACGAUGCUGUGGGUGGAGCUUCGUUUCUUGUGAAAAGCCAUCUGAUGUCGCCCGCUGCGGUGGCUGCUGGUGGCUUCACUGUGCGCACAUGGCUCUGAGUAUAAAUGUGCACCGACAGGAAUAAAACGAUCCUCGGGAUUUAUUUUCUUUUUUUCAUACCUGCCUUCUCAAAAGCGUGUUUUCGUUACGCAUCUUAAGAUAAGAUAAGAUAAAAUAAGAUAAGACUAAUAAAGGUUAAGUCUAAACAUGCGUAACGAAAACACGCUUUUGGUGCUUUACACAACCGAGAACCAUCAGAACUAUAGGGCAAGCUAGUUUAAAGGCGCAAUGUGUGAACUGCAUGUGAACUUGAAAACCAAGUCCAUAAAAGUUCAAUCAAGCAUUUGGCACCGCGCACAAAGGGGACAGGAGGCUAAUUCUUUAACAAACACAUACAUUAAUGUGGUGGUGUGGCGCACUGGAGUGGAACUGUGUACAAAAGAGCUCCAACGAUGUAAAAUAAAGAAGUGAUGGAGCGUUACUUAAACAUUUCUACAGCAAAUCUACAACACAGAGACUUCUACUGCAUCACAUUCACACUUUGUGACACAACAGCAGUCCUCUCCAAAGCAAGAUGUGUUCCUCAAACAGUCCUUUGGAACGAACUUCAAAAUACAAAUUGUGUAUAUAAAAGCCACUGUGACUUGUUUCUAGGCUCUGAUUCUUCUGGGGGAAGGAAAAUAAAAAGAGAAGGAAAAUAAAAAGAGAAGGAAAAUAAAAGGGAAAAAGAAGCUGCAUUUUAAAGCCUCAUUAGUGUGGUUCCCAUGUAAUUCACCCCGGCCUCAUCGAGCAACUAAAAGUCACUCCUUUCUCCUUCCCUGGAACUUACACAAAGCUUUAUUUUUAUUCUAGAACACCCCUUAAAAAUAGAGUUAAAAAAACAAAACAAAACACAUUUUAAGAGAUUAGAGGAAACUUUAUAUUAAAACAGCAAACUUUUUAAAAGAAACCAUCACCAAAUUUCAGCCCUGGGGCCAAAUCUAAAACCAGUUUUAAUAUAGAAAUAUAUAGUUUCAAUAUAGAAAUCUUACACUACACUGCAAAGAAGAAAACACAGUACUUUAUUAUCAGAGAACAAUGCCUUGAUUGUACAUUCACAGCUGAUGUCAGUACAAAAACAUUUGCCCGGUGGGUGCCAGUCCCUUUGAAAAACAUCACUGACAGCAAAGUGCGUCCACUAAGACAUGAUGUGAAGAUAUAGCUACAAGAAAUUAAAAAAUGACAGACGAAUCAAUUACAGAAAAUCUUAAAAUAAUAAUAACUUUUUGUAAAAAUGCCAUUUGGCUCCUGGCCUAAAGAAAUAUUUGCUCACAGUGACGCUGUGUAUACCGAACACGCCAAUUCCCCUAAACCAGUCGGUUCUUGACACCAAAUGGUUCUUUGGAAAAUUAAGCGCAUGGUUAUCAGCGCUCAGUCGUGCAUUCUGCCCCAGAGAUGACUCAACGUGGACUCAUGAACAUUUCCCAGCAGAUUGUUUUCAGACAAUUUCAGAUGAUUUCUAUAAGACCACUGAAGUGAGUAACAGAAGCCUACACACUGAGUUUAUGGACAGUUAAAAAUUCUUCAUCAUUACUACAUCCUGGAGCGUUCCUCCUCCACAGCUGCGUCACGCCACCAAAGACUAAAAGGCAAUUACUAAUUCUUGUCUUAUGAAGAGUCUUACAGGACGCCCACGAAAAUGGUUACAUAAAAAUUUUGCUUAAUAGUUUUGUGAAAAGCUGAUGUCACAAAUGAAUAUUUUGGUUAUGUCAUAUUUCUUUCACAGUGGGGGUGGAAAAAAACAGAAGAAAACUCCAGAAACAAAUAGUCUCUUAAUCAGUUAUUCAAUGUGAGAAACAAAAACAGUAAGUGCCACACACGUAUACAGAAAAUAUAUAACAACUUCACACAGGUGCACAAAUCCAGCGUUCAAAACAAGUUGAAAAAACAAACUGCAGCAAUCCAGUGAUGGUGUCAAAGGUGACAGUGAACAGCUACCUCAGUACAUUCAUCCUCAGAGACACAUUUGGUCCGUCUUUCAGGCAGACAGCAGAGAAAAAACACUCUUGA